AGUGAACGCUGGCGGUAGGCCUAACACAUGCAAGUCGAACGGCAGCACAGUAAGAGCUUGCUCUUACGGGUGGCGAGUGGCGGACGGGUGAGGAAUACAUCGGAAUCUACUUUUUCGUGGGGGAUAACGUAGGGAAACUUACGCUAAUACCGCAUACGACCUACGGGUGAAAGCAGGGGAUCUUCGGACCUUGCGCGAUUGAAUGAGCCGAUGUCGGAUUAGCUAGUUGGCGGGGUAAAGGCCCACCAAGGCGACGAUCCGUAGCUGGUCUGAGAGGAUGAUCAGCCACACUGGAACUGAGACACGGUCCAGACUCCUACGGGAGGCAGGAGUGGGGAAUAUUGGACAAUGGGCGCAAGCCUGAUACAGCCAUACCGCGUGGGUUAAGAAGGCCUUCGGGUUGUAAAACCCUUUUGUUGGGAAAGAAAAGCAGCAGGUUAAUACCCCGCUGUUCUGACGGUACCCAAAGAAUAAGCACCGGCUAACUUCGUG
rnacentral:rRNA from 1 species